rnacentral:rRNA from 1 species
AGAGUUUGAUCCUGACUCAGGAUGAACGCUAGCUACAGGCUUAACACAUGCAAGUCGAGGGGAAACGACAUCGAAAGCUUGCUUUUGAUGGGCGUCGACCGGCGCACGGGUGAGUAACGCGUAUCCAACCUGCCCAUCACUUGGGGAUAACCUUGCGAAAGUAAGACUAAUACCCAAUGACGUCUCUAGAAGACAUCUGAAAGAGAUUAAAGAUUUAUCGGUGAUGGAUGGGGAUGCGUCUGAUUAGCUUGGUUGGAGGGGUAACGGCCACCAAGGCGACGAUCGAGUAGGGGUUCUGAGAGGAAGGUCCCCCACAUUGGAACUGAGAUACGGUCCAAACUCUACGGGAGGCA